CCUACGGGAGGCAGCAGUGAGGAAUAUUGGUCAAUGGGCGCGAGCCUGAACCAGCCAAGUAGCGUGAAGGAUGACUGCCCUACGGGUUGUAAACUUCUGUUAUAAAGGAAGAAAGUGAGGCACGUGUGCCUUUUUGUAUGUACUUUAUGAAUAAGGAUCGGCUAACUCCGUGCCAGCAGCCGCGGUAAUACGGAGGAUACGAGCUUUAUCCGGAUUUAUUGGGUUUACUGGGUGCGUAGAUGGGUUGUUAAGUCAGUUGUGAAAGUUUGCGGCUCAACCGUAAAAUUGCAAUUGAUACUGGCAGUCUUGAGUACAGUUGCGGUAGGCGGAAUUCGUGGUGUAGCGGU
rnacentral:rRNA from 1 species